UGCAGUCGNNCGGUAACGCGGGGCAACCUGGCGACGAGUGGCGAACGGGUGAGUAAUGUAUCGGAACGUGCCCAGUUGUGGGGGAUAACUGCUCGAAAGAGCAGCUAAUACCGCAUACGACCUGAGGGUGAAAGCGGGGGAUCGCAAGACCUCGCGCAAUUGGAGCGGCCGAUAUCAGAUUAGGUAGUUGGUGGGGUAAAGGCCCACCAAGCCAACGAUCUGUAGCUGGUCUGAGAGGACGACCAGCCACACUGGGACUGAGACACGGCCCAGACUCCUACGGGAGGCAGCAGUGGGGAAUUUUGGACAAUGGGCGCAAGCCUGAUCCAGCCAUGCCGCGUGCGGGAAGAAGGCCUUCGGGUUGUAAACCGCUUUUGUCAGGGAAGAAACGCUCUGGGUUAAUACCUCGGGGUAAUGACGGUACCUGAAGAAUAAGCACCGGCUAACUACGUGCCAGCAGCCGCGGUAAUACGUAGGGUGCAAGCGUUAAUCGGAAUUACUGGGCGUAAAGCGUGCGCAGGCGGUUAUGCAAGACAGAGGUGAAAUCCCCGGGCUCAACCUGGGAACUGCCUUUGUGACUGCAUAGCUAGAGUACGGUAGAGGGGGAUGGAAUUCCGCGUGUAGCAGUGAAAUGCGUAGAUAUGCGGAGGAACACCGAUGGCGAAGGCAAUCCCCUGGACCUGUACUGACGCUCAUGCACGAAAGCGUGGGGAGCAAACAGGAUUAGAUACCCUNNNAGUCCACGCCCUAAACGAUGUCAACUGGNUNGUUGGGAGGGUUUCUUCUCAGUAACGUAGCUAACGCGUGAAGUUGACCGCCUGGGG
rnacentral:rRNA from 1 species